AUGUUAAAGCGAGGCCACCCAAGCUGCAGAGGGUGGCUCCAGUUUCCUAGAAUUUCUCUCACUUUCCUUCAGUGGCACGAGGAUGAUGCUCAGGCACCAGGAUCACUUUGUGGAGGGAAAAGCAGAGGCUCCCCACUGGGUCAGCUGGGGCUUCACGAAAUUCACCCCAGUGCUGCAAGAGGCUGCCGAGCUUGGUCACCAUCAGCAAUGCAUCUUCAACUUUAUUUCCUGUGUUGCUCUUCUGGGAAAACUUUUGGCAACAGAGGAAUCAAGAACCAUCGCUCAUGCCAGCGAGAGAGUCUGAGGCUGCACUGCCACUCCAUCCAGCAUGACCUUUGGUAGAGAGCAGUUCUUCCAGCUCGUGCGGGCGACACUGUAUCAGCUGGUGAAAGAGCAAUCUCUCUUCUCUAGGACAGAUGGAUAAAAUACGACAAUAGAGAUUUUCCAAAACAUGUUCUUAUCCAUCACCUAGUCUCACUGAAUCCUCACAGCACCCCUCUUCAGCUGCUAUCAUGAGCACCGCUGUCCGGAUGAGGGGCUGAGGCUCAGAGACAUCCGCAGAACUGAUGUGUAGGGUGGCCCGGAGGACUUAUCCUCCCCUCAACUCGAAUGGUGGCUCUGUGAUGCCGUGCUAAUAUCUGUGAGCCUCAGUUUCUGUCAAAUGAAGGCAAUCUUAACACUUACUUUAUAGAGUUUUUGUGAACAUUAAGAAUUCAAUAUACAGUUUGUAAAGUGGUGCUUGGCACCAAUAAGAGCUUAAUAAAUAC
ensembl:lncRNA